GAUGAACGCUGGCGGCGUGCCUAAUACAUGCAAGUCGAGCGAACAGAUGAGGAGCUUGCUCCUCUGACGAUAGCGGCGGACGGGUGAGUAACACGUGGAUAACCUACCUAUAAGACUGGGAUAACUUCGGGAAACCGGAGCUAAUACCGGAUAAUAUAUUGAACCGCAUGGUUCAAUAGUGAAAGACGGUUUUGCUGUCACUUAUAGAUGGAUCCGCGCCGCAUUAGCUAGUUGGUAAGGUAACGGCUUACCAAGGCGACGAUGCGUAGCCGACCUGAGAGGGUGAUCGGCCACACUGGAACUGAGACACGGUCCAGACUCCUACGGGAGGCAGCAGUAGGGAAUCUUCCGCAAUGGGCGAAAGCCUGACGGAGCAACGCCGCGUGAGUGAUGAAGGUCUUCGGAUCGUAAAACUCUGUUAUUAGGGAAGAACAAAUGUGUAAGUAACUAUGCACGUCUUGACGGUACCUAAUCAGAAAGCCACGGCUAACUACGUG
rnacentral:rRNA from 1 species